GACUGGUCCCAGUGCAGUGUUGUUGCCAACUGAUCACAGCCAGUUACAGAUUUCUUGGUUCCUUCUCCAGUCCCCCUGCUUCACUUGACUGGCCUAAA
ensembl:misc_RNA Y_RNA Y RNA